rnacentral:rRNA from 1 species
UACAUAGGGAGCAAGCGUUAUCCGGAUUUAUUGGGUUUAAAGGGUGCGUAGGCGGACGCUUAAGUCAGCGGUAAAAUUGCGGGGCUCAACCUCGUCGAGCCGUUGAAACUGGGUGCCUUGAGUGGGCGAGAAGUACGCGGAAUGCGUGGUGUAGCGGUGAAAUGCAUAGAUAUCACGCAGAACUCCGAUUGCGAAGGCAGCGUACCGGCGCCCAACUGACGCUGAAGCACGAAGGCGUGGGUAUCGAACAGG